UGUCUUGUCUGCCCUGUCUGUAUUUAAGUCUCGUCUCUCCCUUCCUCUUGUGCUGGUCCAUUAACGUCACUAACGUCUUUAAGGUCGCUUUGUCCCUGACUCCCUUCUUGCCAUGUUUCAUGCUUUGCCACAGCAGCGGGCCCGACGCAGCAGGACAAGCGGGAGUUGGCGGUACACCUGUUGCGCGAGGGGCAGCGGCCGAUGAGGGGGGCGAGCCGCCAGGAAGAGGAGAGGUGGCGGCGCUCAUCGCAGCACCUGCCGCGGGGGGAGACGCAGCGGGCUGUGAACGUGACGCCCCGGUCGGGACCGCAGAUGGAAAGCUCGGAUUGUUUGAUCCCGCGAGGACGUGGGUUCCGUUCGUGAGGCGGCGGGUGUGUCAGGGCGUCUACUCACUGCGUCUCACGAGCUGUCGACGUUUGGCGGGCGAUGAGCCACCAGUAUGCAGCAGCAGCCAUCUCAAACCCAUAAUCAAUGAAAAUUACAUCAAUUUUCAUUGAUUAUCCUUAAAUAUUUUAGCCUUUGUUUCUACUUUAAAUGUCUUCUUUAGUUAACUCUCCAAAUUUCUUUUUCUGACUGAUGCUUGUUUGUAAGCAGAACCAUUGAAGAAAGAAAGAAAAAACUCACUCUAAAAAAGGACCACAAAUUAAUAAAUGACUCAAUCUGUA